rnacentral:misc_RNA from 1 species
CGCACAUUGCGCCUAUUGGUAUUCCAAUAGGCAUGCCUGUUCGAGCGUCAUUUAAACCUUCAAGCUUUGCUUGGUGUUGGGUGCUGUCCGCUGUUUCUUUCUGCGGACUUGCCUUGAAUAAAUUGGUAGCCAGCAUUUGGUGUGUUGGAGCGCAGCACAUUUUGCGUUCUCGGCCAUAAUGGCAGGCGUCCAGAAAGCUUAUUGUAGCGUUUGACCUCGGAUCAGGUAGGGAUACCCGCUGAACUUAA